AGCGAACGCUGGCGGCAGGCCUAACACAUGCAAGUCGAACGAACCUUUCGGGGUUAGUGGCGGAAGGGUGAGUAACACGUGGGAACGUGCCUUUAGGUUCGGAAUAACUCAGGGAAACUUGUGCUAAUACCGAAUGUGCCCUUCGGGGGAAAGAUUUAUCGCCUUUAGAGCGGCCCGCGUCUGAUUAGCUAGUUGGUUGAGGUAAUGGCUCACCAAGGCGACGAUCAGUAGCUGGUCUGAGAGGAUGAUCAGCCACAUUGGGACUGAGACACGGCCCAAACUCAUACGGGAGGCAGCAGUGGGGAAUCUUGCGCAAUGGGCGAAAGCCUGACGCAGCCAUGCCGCGUGAAUGAUGAAGGUCUUAGGAUUGUAAAAUUCUUUCACCGGGGACGAUAAUGACGGUACCCGGAGAAGAAGCCCCGGCUAACUUCGUG
rnacentral:rRNA from 1 species